rnacentral:rRNA from 1 species
AUUGAACGCUGGCGGCAGGCCUAACACAUGCAAGUCGAACGAGUGGCGGACGGGUGAGUAAUGUCUGGGAAACUGCCCGAUGGAAGGGGAUAACUACUGGAAACGGUAGCUAAUACCGCAUACCAUCGGAUGUGCCCAUAUGGGAUUAGCUGGUAGGUGGGGUAACGGCUCACCUAGGCGACGAUCCCUAGCUGGUCUGAGAGGAUGACCAGCCACACUGGAGCUGGGACACGGUCCAGACGCCUACGGGAGGCAGCAGUGGGGAAUAUUGCACAAUGGGCGGAAGCCUUAUGCAGCCGUGCCGCGUGUAUGAAGAAGGCCUUCGGGUUGUAAAGUACUUUCAGCGAGGAUGCGUUACUCGCAGAAGAAGCACCGGCUAACUCCGUGCCAGCCGCCGCGGUAAUAC